AUCAAAUUAGUCAUUAUAAAUACUCCUUUUAGGGUUAGGGCUCUUCAUACCCAUUACACAAUAAGCUGGUUUGAAGGAUAGCUUAUACCAUGAGGAGAUGCCGGCACAAUUCUUGGUGACAAAUGUGAAAUAUCACGAGUGCCGAAGGAAUCAUGCGUGUAGGGAUGGAGGAUAUAUUUUGGAUGGCUGCAGGGAAUUCGUAACAAGUGGUGCGGAAGGCACUGAUUCAGCUAUGACUUGUGCUACAUGUGGCUGCCAUAGGAACUACCACAGGAGGGAAGACUUUUGUGAUUGUCCUUCUCAUCCUGCUGCUAAUGGAGCUUGAAUUCGAUAUGUGUUCUAUGCCUGAACAACUAUAUGUAAACCACCUAUGAUAUUUAUAUUUUCUAUGGAUCUGCUUUUGCUUGUUAAUUUUGUUGUUAUGGUUUUCAAUUUUAUCUUAAUGAUUAUGUAAUGGACUUUUGUUUUUGAAAUCUAGUGUGCUAUAUGGUUUCAUGUUUUUUCCAAAGAGAAGUUCAAACUUGAUGAAGGAUAAGGGGUGUUUUUUUUCA